rnacentral:rRNA from 1 species
GACGAACGCUGGCGGCGUGCUUAACACAUGCAAGUCGAACGGAAAGGCCCUGCUUUUGUGGGGUGCUCGAGUGGCGAACGGGUGAGUAACACAUGAGUAACCUGCCCUUGACUUUGGGAUAACUUCAGGAAACUGGGGCUAAUACCGGAUAGGAGCUCCUGCUGCAUGGUGGGGGUUGGAAAGUUUCGGCGGUUGGGGAUGGACUCGCGGCUUAUCAGCUUGUUGGUGGGGUAGUGGCUUACCAAGGCUUUGACGGGUAGCCGGCCUGAGAGGGUGACCGGCCACAUUGGGACUGAGAUACGGCCCAGACUCCUACGGGAGGCAGCAGUGGGGAAUAUUGCACAAUGGGCGGAAGCCUGAUGCAGCAACGCCGCGUGCGGGAUGACGGCCUUCGGGUUGUAAACCGCUUUCGCCUGUGACGAAGCGUGAGUGACGGUAAUGGGUAAAGAAGCACCAGCUAACUACGUG